CGACCUGCUGCGGACAAAUAAAAUGAAUGUGCGCAUCAAUACCACCGGCCGUGAGAAUGUGUCCUUCACCAGCAAUAACUUCGGUACCAGGGCCAAUCACGAUGGUCACGGCAUCUUGAAUAUCUGGAUUACCCGCCUUGCCAAUACCACUAAUAUGCCCAUUCUUAAUUCCGACGUCGGCUUUAACAAUACCCCAAUGAUCAAGAAUUAAGGCAUUGGUAAUAACAGUGUCAGCAGAUUGGGCACAACUUACCUGACUUUGACCCAUGCCAUCGCG
rnacentral:sRNA from 1 species